GGUGAUAGAACUGGGGAGAUGCUUUGUAACCUGGGGAGAUGCUUCCUGGGAACAGAAACAGGAAUAGUGAACUAGCAAACUAGGAAUUUAAUCCACUGCCAGAAUGGAAGUCUUCACACACAGUAUGGGUCACCAAAGAGCAAGAAGAUACUAUCAGACCUGAUGGAGAAAGCUGUACAUCAAACAAACAAGUUGGACUCAGAGGGAAAUGCAGUCAUGAAGAAGAACAAGUACCUUCUCCCUUGGAAAAGUGUUAGGCGUGGCCCUGUGAAACAGGUGGUCCCUAACACUUACGGGGAAGUCUGCUGUGCUGCAAGGCUUCCAGGAAGACUUUCAGCUUCCCAGAAAAAUGAAGAGAUGUUCUAGGAAAGCUUUUGGUUUCCUGGUAAAAUGAAGAGAUGCUGCUGUCAAUCUAUGCUCCUUCACAGUGCCUCAAAUAGAAAGGGCUCCAGAAGACCUAACCAGUCAAGUAUCUAUGGGACUCACUAGACAGCAGCCAAAUGUAAACAGACAUAUAAACACACUGAAACAGAAGAAAAUAAGGGAACUGUGGAAUUGUUCAAAAAAUGAAGAAUUCCCACAGGGAUGGCUCAGUCCGUUAAGCGUAUGCCUUCGGCUCAGGUCAUGACCUCAGGGUCCUGGGA